rnacentral:tRNA from 1 species
GCCUAGCUAGCUCAGUUGGUAGAGCAUGAGGCUCUUAAUCUCAGGAUCAUGGGUUUGAGCCCCACACUGGGCA